CUGGAAUCCACUAUACCAUCCUGAAAAGCAAUAGGUCCUUUCUGAUUUUGGAUGUUAAGUAGGAUUGGGUCUAUUUCAUACUUGGAUAGGAGACCACCAGGUAAUACUAGGGGGUCUCCAGU
rnacentral:rRNA from 1 species